UACGCAGGGACCGAGCGUUGUCCGGAUUCAUUGGGCGUAAAGAGCUCGUAGGCGGCCACUCAAGUCGAAUGUGAAACCUCGAGGCUUAACCUCGAGCCUGCAUUUGAUACUGGGCGGCUAGAGUCUGGUAGGGGGAUCUGGAAUUCCUGGUGUAGCGGUGGAAUGCGCAGAUAUCAGGAGGAACACCGGUGGCGAAGGCGGGAUCCUGGGCCAGUACUGACGCUGAGGAGCGAAAGCGUGGGGAGCAAACAGG
rnacentral:rRNA from 1 species